rnacentral:rRNA from 1 species
UACGGAGGGUGCAAGCGUUAUCCGGAUUCACUGGGUUUAAAGGGUGCGUAGGCGGACAGGUAAGUCAGUGGUGAAAUCUCUGGGCUUAACUCAGAAACUGCCGUUGAUACUAUUUGUCUUGAAUGUCAUGGAGGUAAGCGGAAUAUGUCAUGUAGCGGUGAAAUGCUUAGAUAUGACAUAGAGCACCGAUAGCGAAGGCAGCUUACUACAUGAAGAUUGACGCUGAGGCACGAAAGCGUGGGGAGCAAACAGG